CUACGGGGCGCUCCAGUGAGGAAUAUUGCACAAUGGGGGGAACCCUGAUGCAGCAACGCCGCGUGGAGGAUGACGCAUUUCGGUGUGUAAACUCCUUUUAUAUGUCAAGAAAAUGACGGUAGCAUAUGAAUAAGCACCGGCUAACUCCGUGCCAGCAGCCGCGGUAAUACGGAGGGUGCAAGCGUUACUCGGAAUCACUGGGCGUAAAGGACGCGUAGGCGGGUUGGAAAGUCAGGUGUGAAAUCCUACAGCUUAACUGUAGAACUGCACUUGAAACUUCUAAUCUAGAGUAUGGGAGGGGGAGAUGGAAUUAGUGGUGUAGGGGUAAAAUCCGUAGAUAUCACUAGGAAUACCUAAAGCGAAGGCGAUCUUCUGGAACAAUACUGACGCUAAGGCGUGAAAGCGUGGGGAGCAAACAGGAUUAGAUACCCCAGUAGUC
rnacentral:rRNA from 1 species